UUCUUCAGGGGACCCUGAACACGCCGGAUCUCAUCUGAUCUCAGAAGCUAAGCAGGGUCUGGCCUGGUUAGUACUUGGAUGGGAGAACUUUAAUUUUUAAUGGUUAUUACAGAGA
rnacentral:rRNA from 1 species